rnacentral:rRNA from 1 species
CGGACGGGUGAGUAACGCGUGGGCAACCUGCCUCAUACAGGGGGAUAACAGUUAGAAAUGACUGCUAAUACCGCAUAAGACCACAGGAUUGCAUGAUCCGGUGGUAAAAACUCCGGUGGUAUGAGAUGGACCCGCGUCUGAUUAGGUAGUUGGUGGGGUAACGGCUCACCAAGCCGACGAUCAGUAGCCGACCUGAGAGGGUGACCGGCCACAUUGGGACUGAGACACGGCCCAGACUCCUACGGGAGGCAGCAUG